ACGUGGUUUACGGGGACUCUUAAUGGGACCAACACGUCACCUGUAAUUAAAGUCUACAUUCAUUGCGACAUACAGAAGGUGUAGAUAUCGGUGACGUAACAUUACAUCCCCACCCACACGUGAAACAGGUGGCUAACAGGACUGAUAUGCUAACCUGCAAGCAAAUAGAGUUGCAGGAUGUACCACAACACAUGAUGCUCACCUCUGCUUCAUCAGCGUAGACAGUGCCAGCUCCAGCGACAGUUCCUCAACUCAUCCUGCAUCCUUCCUUCAGUGGACUCCAGUCUAGACUCCAAAGGGGGGGGUGUCCUAUCCAGCUCUCGGCCUCACUUCCCCUUCAGGGACAUGAAGACAGCACGAUGCAGUCUAAUCAACAAAGACUUUGCACAUUUCUCAUAUUUUCCAGCGCUUUUUAUUGAAAAGUAUUUUUUAUACUAUAAAAAGCAAUAAAUAAUGAUUUAAUUUUUGUCUAAACUGAGACAAAAACACGUCAAAA